AUUGAACGCUGGCGGGAGGCCUAACACAUGCAAGUCGAACGAGUGGCGGACGGGUGAGUAAUGUCUGGGAAACUGCCUGGUGGAGGGGGAUAACUACUGGAAACGGUAGCUAAUACCGCAUACCAUCGGAUGUGCCCAGAUGGGAUUAGCUAGUAGGUGGGGUAACGGCUCACCUAGGCGACGAUCCCUAGCUGGUUUGAGAGGAUGACCAGCCACACUGGAACUGAGACACGGUCCAGACUCCUACGGGAGGCAGCAGUGGGGAAUAUUGCACAAUGGGGGAAAGCCUGAUCCAGCCAUGCCGCGUGUGUGAAGAAGGCCUUCGGGUUGUAAAGCACUUUCAGCGGGGAAGCGUUACCCGCAGAAGAAGCACCGGCUAACUCCGUGCCAGCAGCCGCGGUAAUAC
rnacentral:rRNA from 1 species